UCCUGAUCAGCUUCAAAUAGACAGUGUAGAAGAAACAAUCAUCCGCGAUGCUGCAAGCAUAAUGCAGCGUCUGGUUUCCUAACUCCUUUGUCACAUCUUCGACUGCAGGACAGGUUUUCCGCCUGAUUGAGUAAUUUUACUUCCUACAGUAUUUCUUUGCUUUUGCACCUUCUCUUUAUAAUUAGAGAGGGUUGAUUGUGCUUCUUCGAAAUGAGGUGCCAUGACAUUCUUCGUAUCAUCAAGCCACUUCAGAACUCUCUUGAAUGGGCCUAAUAUCCGCUCACGAUCCUUUUCAUCCAGAA